UACCUGCAGCUCGAGUGGUAACCGCUUUUAUUGGGCCUAAAGCGUCCGUAGCCGGUUUGGUAAAUAUCUGGGUAAAUCGUGAGGCUUAACUUCACGAAUUUCGGAUAGACUGCCAGACUUGGGAUCGGGGGAGGUCAGAGGUACUCCAGGGGUAGCGGUGAAAUGUUGUAAUCCUUGGAGGACCACCGGUAGCGAAGGCGUCUGACUAGAACGAGUCCGACGGUGAGGGACGAAGCCCUGGGGCGCAAACCGGAUUAGAUACCCGGGUAGUCCAGGGUGUAACAAUGUGGGCUUUGUAUUGGAGGUCCUACGUGGGCGUCCAGUGCAGAAGAGAAGUUGUAAGCCCACCGCCUGGGAAGUACGGUCGCAAAGGCUGAAACUUAAAGGAAUUGGCGGGGGAGCACAGACAACGGGAGGAGCGUGCGGUUU
rnacentral:rRNA from 1 species